rnacentral:lncRNA from 1 species
GUCACGGGCUGCCUCCUCUCUGCAAGUGUCUCAAGGCCAAAGACAGGCUGGUGGGAAAGCUCCGACCAGCAAGGCCAUAUGCUCCCCCUCCCCUACCUAAAACCCCAAAUAAAAACCCUUCCUUUUAGCUUUUUGGGGAGUUUGGGAUUUCAGCGUUAGCUGCCCUCUCUCCUUGCUCAGUGCUGUGCAAAAAUAAAACUCUCCUACUUUCUUCCAUCACACCCGGUGUCAGAGAUUGGCUUGCUGCGCAACGGGACCAGCUGGAAAUAAUGGGUACCUUGGCAGCCCUCUGGGCUCAUUUGUUUUGAAGUUGCUGCAACGCCCCAGCCAAAUUUUGGACACAAUUGGAAACACUGGUUAUAUUACCAAGGCUUUGACUGGAACAUCAUGUUUGAAAAAACAUAUGGGCUUGGAUAUAAUAAAACAGCUUUUGAGGAAUGAAGGUUGACAUUCUGGAAUAAAGCCACUUGGAAAUAUUGGCCUGGUACUGUGUUUAUGGGUUCUGUAACCUGGUAAGGUUGAGCAAAGAAUGUCACUCCCUCUGGCAGGUACAAGGAACCUCAAUAUUUUGGGGAACCUCACGAAGAGAGGGAUUCACCCAAAUCUGUAGUUACUGCAGGCAGAAUCUGAUAACAGGUGCUUUGCUUGGCUUUCCUUGAGAGACCUUUACAGUUCAACCUGAGAUUCCUUAUAAGGUUCCAGCAAAGCAGAUUAAAAAGAGCCUAUAUGAUCAAUUACUAUUCUUGCUGUACUUAUGUAAAUAAUUAUGCCAAAUUUAUUAAAACUAAACACUGUGCAAACCAGUUAGUCUUAAUUUGUCUAUGUCUAGUGAAAUUCAGGGUGAUUUUAGGGAGGAAGAUUAUGUUUCAAUAGAAACUAUAAUACAUGUUUAUAGAUAUUAGAUUUUAGUUUUUUCAAUUGUCUUUGAAAUUUUUGUUUUACUUCUGUUAACUGGACUGGAUCUUGAAUUCUUUGUCUCCUGAAAUAUCUGGCUAAAAAACCCCAAACUAACAUUUUCAGGGUUUUUCCCCAUUAUUUUCAUUUGGAGUCAUUGAAAACUAAAUCUGCCCUUUUUCUUAAAGCCUUACAAACUGAAGCUGGAAGACCUAAUAUAAACUUAAGAGAGAUUCAUGUCUACUGCUGUGUAAGCCACUCAAAAAGCUACCUGAGUGCCGGAUGACACCAUCAAAGACAUUUCAAACUGCAAAAGAUGCUUCAACCCUGACUUCUAAGAUCUUGAUUGGCUACCCCCUGGGCUCAGAAACUGGUUUAUAAUUUGCUCCAAUCAUUAACCUUGUUUUUCUCUUUUUGUUUCUCUAGAAAAACUUCUUAUUAAAUACCUGGUUACUUAGGUACAUGAUACAGGCCUAACUUCAGGAGCCCACCAGCAUUACUGCUUUAUUAAAAGACUGGUUCAAUGAGAUGAAACGACUUACACCCCAUUUCAGCAGGAAGUAGCUAGAUUCGUCGCCGCCCCAAAUCCCUCAAGAUUGAAGGAUGGACAUAAAAUAGGGGGGAGUUGAUACCAACCCUGCUAUCAGUUUCCCCACAUUAAACCCAGCAUAUAUAGGGUUAAAACCAAAACACGCAUUCCCUGCUUACUCUCUGGCUUCCUGGCUCCAAAAUCCACUAUCCUCCAUGGAGACAGACACCGUCAAGGACAAGCACCUGGACUAUCUCCUCCCGCAAAGAGAUAGAGGCUGGUGGGAAAGCUGCUGAUCAGCAAGGUCAUGGGCUGCCUCCUCUCUGCAAGUGUCUCAAGGCCAAAGACAGGCUGGUGGGAAAGCUCUGACCAGCAAGGCCAUAUGCUCCCCCUCCCCUACCUAAAACCCCAAAUAAAAACCCUUCCUUUUAGCUUUUUGGGGAUUUUGGGAUUUCAGCGUUAGCUGCCCUCUCUCCUUGCUCAGUGCUGUGCAAAAAUAAAAUUCCUACUUUCUUCCACCA